rnacentral:rRNA from 1 species
AAACUAACAGAUUUACUUCGGUAACCGACGUUAGGAAAGAGAGCGGCGGAUGGGUGAGUAACACGUGGGGAACCUGCCCCAUAGUCUGGGAUACCACUUGGAAACAGGUGCUAAUACCGGAUAAGAAAGCAGAUCGCAUGAUCAGCUUUUAAAAGGCGGCGUAAGCUGUCGCUAUGGGAUGGCCCCGCGGUGCAUUAGCUAGUUGGUAAGGUAAAGGCUUACCAAGGCGAUGAUGCAUAGCCGAGUUGAGAGACUGAUCGGCCACAUUGGGACUGAGACACGGCCCAAACUCCUACGGGAGGCCGCAGUAGGGAAUCUUCCACAAUGGACGCAAGUCUGAUGGAGCAACGCCGCGUGAGUGAAGAAGGUUUUCGGAUCGUAAAGCUCUGUUGUUGGUGAA